rnacentral:rRNA from 1 species
UCAAAAACAUGUCUGUGUGAAAUAGUUAUAUAGUCUAGCCUGCCCACUGAAUUAUUUAAAGGGCCGCGGUAAUUUGACCGUGCGAAGGUAGCAUAGUCAUUAGUCUUUUAAUUGAAGGCUUGAAUGAAUGGUUGGACGAAAGAUAAGCUGUCUUUUAUAUGUAGUUUGAAUUUAACUUUUAAGUGAAAAGGCUUAAAUUAAUUAAAGGGACGAUAAGACCCUAUAAAACUUUAUAUAAAUUUGAUUUUAUUUAUGAUUUAGGUAAAGAAUAAUUUAGUUUGAUUUAUAUUUCGUUGGGGAGAUGUAGAUAUAAAAUGUAACUGUCUAUAAAAUUUAAUAAUUAUUAUUAGUAAUUGAUCCUUCUUUGUGGAUUGAAAGAAUAAGUUACUUUAGGGAUAACAGCGUAAUUUUCUUUGAGAGUUCUUAUCGACAAGAGUAGUUGCGACCUCGAUGUUGAAUUAAAAUUUUAACUAGGUGUAGCCGUUUAGUUGGUAGGUCUGUUCGACCUUUAAAAUUUUACAUGAUUUGAGUUCAAACCGGUGUGAGCCAGGUUG